rnacentral:rRNA from 1 species
AAAGCGAACGCUGGCGGCNCCGCUUAACACAUGCAAGUCGAACGGGCACCUUCGGGUGUCAGUGGCAGACGGGUGAGUAACACGUGGGAACGUACCCUUCGGUUCGGAAUAACUCAGGGAAACUUGAGCUAAUACCGGAUACGCCCUUUUGGGGAAAGGUUUACUGCCGAAGGAUCGGCCCGCGUCUGAUUAGCUUGUUGGUGGGGUAACGGCCUACCAAGGCGACGAUCAGUAGCUGGUCUGAGAGGAUGAUCAGCCACACUGGGACUGAGACACGGCCCAGACUCCUACGGGAGGCAGCAGUGGGGAAUAUUGGACAAUGGGCGCAAGCCUGAUCCAGCCAUGCCGCGUGAGUGAUGAAGGCCUUAGGGUUGUAAAGCUCUUUUGUCCGGGACGACAAUGACGGUACCGGAAGAAUAAGCCCCGGCUAACUUCGUGCCAGCAGCCGCGGUAAUACGAAGGGGGCUAGCGUUGCUCGGAAUCACUGGGCGUAAAGGGCGCGUAGGCGGCCGAUUAAGUCGGGGGUGAAAGCCUGUGGCUCANCCACAGAAUUGCCUUCGAUACUGGUUGGCUUGAGACCGGAAGAGGACAGCGGAACUGCGAGUGUAGAGGUGAAAUUCGUAGAUAUUCGCAAGAACACCAGUGGCGAAGGCGGCUGUCUGGUCCGGUUCUGACGCUGANGCGCGNAAGCGUGGGGAGCAAACAGGAUUAGAUACCUGGUAGUCCACGCCGUAAACGAUGAUGCCAGCCGUUGGCCUGCUUGCAGGUCAUUGGCGCCGCUA